CAGCCCGGGCUUCAAACCCGGCGCCUCGCAGCUA
rnacentral:tRNA from 13 species